rnacentral:lncRNA from 1 species
AUGGACUUUAAGCUAAAGAACAAAUACUUAGUCAGACUUGAACAAAUCACUCAAAUUUUGAAAGAUGGAAUAAGAGACAUGACUUAAUUUUUACAAGGGAGACAAGAGUGUUGCCUAAGUGCUUCACACGCCCAUCAGUCAGACUGGGUCUGAUAAGGCCUAGCUCAGGCAUUCGCUGACUUAAUUAGAGCCAUGAAUGAUUCUACGGCAGUUUGCGAAUCUCUAAACACCAUCAUGACCUCCUCAAUCACCCUCCCAACAUGUCUGCUUCUGCUGCCCCAGGAGGAAGGAAUGAAUGAGGGUAGGAGGAAGCAAACAUCUGGAAGCUUGUCCUGUGGGGCUGGGCUGAGACCCUGGCUCUCUAAGCCUUGUGACUCUGGUUCACGGUUCAUCUCUGGCCUGCUCUGUAAAGACACGGCUCUUUCCUUCUCUUCACCUUGAAAUAAAGACCAAGAGAC